rnacentral:rRNA from 1 species
CCCUUAGAUGUUCUGGGCCGCACGCGCGCUACACUGAUGCAUUCAACGAGUUUCUUCCUGGUCCGAGAGGAAUGGGUAACCUUUUGAAAGUGCAUCGUGAUAGGGAUAGACUAUUGCAAUUAUUGGUCUUCAACGAGGAAUUCCUAGUAGACGUAGUUCAUCAGACUGCAUCGAUUACGUCCCUGCCCUUUGUACACACCGCCCGUCGCUCCUACCGAUUGAAUGCUCAGGUGAGCCAUUCGGACCCUCAUCAUGCCGGUUUCCGGUUUUGAUGAGGGAAAGUCUUGCGAACCUUAUCAUUUAGAGGAAGGAGAAGUCGUAACA